AUACGGAGGGUGCAAGCGUUAUUCGGAAUCACUGAGCGUAAAGGGUGCGUAGGCGGUUUGAUAAGUCUGAUGUGAAAUCCUAUGGCUCAACCAUAGAACUGCAUUGGAAACUGUCAGACUAGAAUACUGAAGGGGCAGAUGGAAUUAGUGGUGUAGGGGUAAAAUCCGUAGAUAUCACUAGGAAUACCGAAAGCGAAAGCGAUCUGCUGGGAAGUUAUUGACGCUGAGGCACGAAAGCGUGGGGAGCAAACGGGAUUAGAAACCCUAGAGUCC
rnacentral:rRNA from 1 species